AUUGAACGCUGGCGGCAGGCCUAGCACAUGCAAGUCGAACGGUAACAGGAAGCAGCUUGCUGCUUCGCUGUCGAGUGGCGGGCGGGUGUGUCAUGUCUGUGAAACUGCCUGAUGGAGGGGGAUAACUCCUGGAAACGGUAGCUAAUACCGCAUAACGUCGCAAGCCCAAAGAGCGGUACCUUAGGGCCUCUUGCCAUCCGCUGUUCCCAGAUGGGAUUAGCUAGUAGGUGGGGUAACGGCUCACCUAGGCGACGAUCCCUAGCUGGUCUGAGAGGAUGACCAGCCACACUGGAACUGAGACACGGUCCAGACUCCUACGGGAGGCAGCAGUGGGGAAUAUUGCACAAUGGGCGCAAGCCUGAUGCAGCCAUGCCGCGCGUAUGAAGAAGGCCUUCGGGUUGUAAAGUACUUUCAGCGGGGAGGAAGGGAGUAAAGUUAAUACCUGUGCUCAUUGACGUUACCCGCAGAAGAAGCACCGGCUAACUCCGUG
rnacentral:rRNA from 1 species